rnacentral:rRNA from 1 species
ACUAUCGUUAACUGAAUACAUAGGUUAACGAGGCGAACCGGGGGAACUGAAACAUCUAAGUACCCCGAGGAAAAGAAAUCAACCGAGAUUCCCCCAGUAGCGGCGAGCGAACGGGGAGCAGCCCAGAGUCUGAAUCAGCUUGUGUGUUAGUGGAACGGUCUGGAAAGUCCGACGGUACAGGGUGAUAGUCCCGUACACCAAAAUGCACAGGUUGUGAACUCGAAGAGUAGGGCGGGACACGUGGUAUCCUGUCUGAAUAUGGGGGGACCAUCCUCCAAGGCUAAAUACUCCUGACUGACCGAUAGUGAACCAGUACCGUGAGGGAAAGGCGAAAAGAACCCCGGCGAGGGGAGUGAAAAAGAACCUGAAACCGUGUACGUACAAGCAGUGGGAGCACCUUCGGGUGUGACUGCGUACCUUUUGUAUAAUGGGUCAGCGACUUAUAUUCUGUAGCAAGGUUAACCGUAUAGGGGAGCCGCAGGGAAACCGAGUCUUAACUGGGCGUUAAGUUGCAGGGUAUAGACCCGAAACCCGGUGAUCUAGCCAUGGGCAGGUUGAAGGUUGGGUAACACUAACUGGAGGACCGAACCGACUAAUGUUGAAAAAUUAGCGGAUGACUUGUGGCUGGGGGUGAAAGGCCAAUCAAACCGGGAGAUAGCUGGUUCUCCCCGAAAGCUAUUUAGGUAGCGCCUCGUGAAUUCAUCUUCGGGGGUAGAGCACUGUUUCGGCUAGGGGGUCAUCCCGACUUACCAACCCGAUGCAAACUACGAAUACCGAAGAAUGUUAUCACGGGAGACACACGGCGGGUGCUAACGUCCGUCGUGAAGAGGGAAACAACCCAGACCGCCAGCUAAGGUCCCAAAGUCAUGGUUAAGUGGGAAACGAUGUGGGAAGGCACAGACAGCCAGGAUGUUGGCUUAGAAGCAGCCAUCAUUUAAAGAAAGCGUAAUAGCUCACUGGUCGAGUCGGCCUGCGCGGAAGAUGUAACGGGGCUAAACCAUGCACCGAAGCUGCGGCAGCGACACUAUGUGUUGUUGGGUAGGGGAGCGUUCUGUAAGCCUGCGAAGGUGACCUGUGAGGGUUGCUGGAGGUAUCAGAAGUGCGAAUGCUGACAUAAGUAACGAUAAAGCGGGUGAAAAGCCCGCUCGCCGGAAGACCAAGGGUUCCUGUCCAACGUUAAUCGGGGCAGGGUGAGUCGACCCCUAAGGCGAGGCCGAAAGGCGUAGUCGAUGGGAAACAGGUUAAUAUUCCUGUACUUGGUGUUACUGCGAAGGGGGGACGGAGAAGGCUAUGUUAGCCGGGCGACGGUUGUCCCGGUUUAAGCAUGUAGGCUGGUUAUCCAGGCAAAUCCGGAUAAUCAAGGCUGAGGUGUGAUGACGAGGCACUACGGUGCUGAAGUAACAAAUGCCCUGCUUCCAGGAAAAGCCUCUAAGCAUCAGGUAACAUUAAAUCGUACCCCAAACCGACACAGGUGGUCAGGUAGAGAAUACCAAGGCGCUUGAGAGAACUCGGGUGAAGGAACUAGGCAAAAUGGUGCCGUAACUUCGGGAGAAGGCACGCUGGUGUGUAGGUGAAGCCCCUGCGGGUGGAGCUGAGACCAGUCGAAGAUACCAGCUGGCUGCAACUGUUUAUUAAAAACACAGCACUGUGCAAACACGAAAGUGGACGUAUACGGUGUGACGCCUGCCCGGUGCCGGAAGGUUAAUUGAUGGGGUUAUCCGUAAGGAGAAGCUCUUGAUCGAAGCCCCGGUAAACGGCGGCCGUAACUAUAACGGUCCUAAGGUAGCGAAAUUCCUUGUCGGGUAAGUUCCGACCUGCACGAAUGGCGUAAUGAUGGCCAGGCUGUCUCCACCCGAGACUCAGUGAAAUUGAACUCGCUGUGAAGAUGCAGUGUACCCGCGGCAAGACGGAAAGACCCCGUGAACCUUUACUAUAGCUUGACACUGAACAUUGAGCCUUGAUGUGUAGGAUAGGUGGGAGGCUUUGAAGCGUGGACGCCAGUCUGCGUGGAGCCAACCUUGAAAUACCACCCUUUAAUGUUUGAUGUUCUAACGUUGGCCCCUGACCGGGGUUGCGGACAGUGUCUGGUGGGUAGUUUGACUGGGGCGGUCUCCUCCCAAAGCGUAACGGAGGAGCACGAAGGUUAGCUAAUCCUGGUCGGACAUCAGGAGGUUAGUGCAAUGGCAUAAGCUAGCUUGACUGCGAGCGUGACGGCGCGAGCAGGUGCGAAAGCAGGUCAUAGUGAUCCGGUGGUUCUGAAUGGAAGGGCCAUCGCUCAACGGAUAAAAGGUACUCCGGGGAUAACAGGCUGAUACCGCCCAAGAGUUCAUAUCGACGGCGGUGUUUGGCACCUCGAUGUCGGCUCAUCACAUCCUGGGGCUGAAGUAGGUCCCAAGGGUAUGGCUGUUCGCCAUUUAAAGUGGUACGCGAGCUGGGUUUAGAACGUCGUGAGACAGUUCGGUCCCUAUCUGCCGUGGGCGCUGGAGAAUUGAGGGGGGCUGCUCCUAGUACGAGAGGACCGGAGUGGACGCAUCACUGGUGUUCGGGUUGUCAUGCCAAUGGCACUGCCCGGUAGCUAAAUGCGGAAGAGAUAAGUGCUGAAAGCAUCUAAGCACGAAACUUGCCCCGAGAUGAGUUCU